rnacentral:rRNA from 1 species
UACAGAGGUCUCAAGCGUUGUUCGGAAUUACUGGGCGUAAAGGGUGCGCAGGCCGCGCGGGCAGUCAAAUGUGUAAUCCAGGGGCUCAACCCCUGAACUGCGCUUGAUACUUCCGCGCUCGAGCUUUGGAGAGGAGUCUGGAAUUCGUCGGUGUAGCAGUGAAAUGCGUGGAUAUCGAGAAGAACACUUAGGGCGUAGGCAAGACUCUGGACAAAUGCUGACGCUCAUGCACGAACGGCUAGGGUAGCGAACGGG